AGGAGAACACUAGGUCUCAACCAUCUCGGCCUGUUUCAAGAAUUCCGGUUCUGUGCGAAAGAGAGGAAAAAACAUUAUAUUAGUUUAACAUUAAUAUUAACCUUUGUUAAAACUUAAAUAGUACAUUUCAAAUUUUUACAAAUCACAACUAAUGUUUUCUUGGCAAAGUUUUCUUUUUUACUGUUACAUCACCCUGAUUAAACACUGCUGAAUUACAAUGCUACAUUUAGUAAAUACAUUUUGAUUUCUCCAGGGGAUUUUUGCAUCGACACCAUGCAUCCACUUCAAACACUGAGUGUAAACCAUAUGGUUGCUGCAAUGAAGGAUUUGCUGAGAGAAGAAGCUGGCAAUCCAUAUUGUUUAUUGAAAGGAAAUGGCAUGUCACUAUACUGUUACCAUUCAGAGGAGGGAUACCUUUUACUCAUACAUUAUUUCAAGUGAUAUUUUAUUCAUCUUAGAGCCGGACCAUUAUGCAGGAUGGGAGGAGACGGGGUUUUGUGGAGAGCUCUGGGAAGGCAGCUCUUCCCAAAAAACUACAGUUGACAGUUUUGGAGGAGAAAUACCCAGGAAAAAGGAGAGGGAACUUUUCAAAACCUCCUACCGCCCCAAAAGGCAACAUAAGGGUGAGCGAGGACAACUGCGCGUUUGAAGUGCGCGUGGAGUUUCAGAAGAAGACGCUUUCGCCUACAUUGAAAGACAAUCGGCUCCUUGAGGAAGAGGACGAGGGCAAAAACACGCACCAGGAAGAUAACCGCUAAACGCGCUGCUAGACUGACUUCCCAAAAAUAAUCGGAAGGAGAGUCCGAGCACCGUAAAAUACCUCACAUACAAAGUAGGCCAUCCACAGCCGGUCCGAAUCCCGGGCCACGGACUCAAACAGACGCCAGUAUCUUAUAUAUAGUGAACGUAACCUGCCGAUAUAUCAAACACAGAAACUAGCCAUUUAUUUUUAUAUAAAGCCAUUUCGCUGAAUUUCGAAUGUUAUUUAUCGGAGCAACCCAGACUUUGACCUGCUCACGAGUCUCUUGUUUAUUUUCUUUGUGGACGAUGGAUGCAUCGGAGGCAUCGAUGACGGCAAGUCAGUGGAUAGAGUGGGCGGUCGAGAAAGGCAUAAGAGCAAAUACACAGGGAGUGUAUAUCUGGAGCGAGCCAGAGGAUGACGGGAUUGAGAAGCCGGCCAUCAUGGAGGAGACGCCCGCCAUUUCACCGGCACCCACGUCUGUCGGGUAAAGGUUGUCAGGUUCGUCCAGGGCGUCCGACCUGUCCAGUUCGUCCGACCUGUCCAGGUCGUCGAGUUCGUCAAUGUCGUCCAGAGCGUCCACGUCGUCCAGCUCCCUGUCGAGGUCGUCCAGUUCGGACUCGGAGUACGUCCCGUUUGAGGCCUCCGACUCCGACGAGGAUGUCCCUCUGGUGGCUCCGACGGUCCCUGUGGUGGCUCGGGUGGUCCCUCUGGUGGCUUUGCCACCACCCAGGCCUGAGAGGCGCAUGAGAAAUAGGAUUACGGAGGCGGAGGAACUGGCCAUAAACAUGGUAUUCGCAGAGGACAUUGUCUCGACGUCCUUGUCAGGCAAGAGUAUAGGCAUCGAAGUCGUGAGACGAAAAUACAACCGGGCGACCAUGGGCCGUUUGGGCUUUGAGCAGGUUCGAGCAAAGAUCCGAAACCUGGCCAAGGCUCGUGCAGCUCGCCUGACGGCAGGCCCUAUGUAGAGCCCUAGACCGGCUGAUAUUUCUUAUAUGUUUUUUUAAUAUGCUGUUAUGUCUUUGUUAAAAUGAAUAUGUAUUAGUAUACAUUGUAAGUACUGGUUCAACCCAGGAAAAUACUUUAUUAUUUGUAAAUGUUUUUAUAUGCUUUUAUGUCUUUAUUUAAAUGAAUAUGUAUUAGUAUACAUUGUAAGUACUGGUUCAACCCAGGAAAAUACUUGAUUAUUUGUAAAUGUUUUAUAUGCUUUUAUGUCUUUAUUUAAAUGAAUUUGUAUUAGUAUACAUUGUAAGAACAGGUUCAACCCAGGAAAAUACUUGAUUAUUUGUAAAUGUUUUAUAUGCUUUUAUGUCUUUAUUUAAAUGAAUAUGUAUUAGUAUUCAUUGUAAGUACUGGUUCAACCCAGGAAAAUACUUGAUUAUUUGUAAAUGUUUUAUAUGCUUUUAUGUCUUUGUUUAAAUGAAUAUGUAUUAGUAUACAUUGUAAGUACUGGUUCAACCCAGGAAAAUACUUGAUUAUUUGUAAAUGUUUUAUAUGCUUUUAUGUCUUUAUUUAAAUGAAUUUGUAUAAGUAUACAUUGUAAGAACAGGUUCAACCCAGGAAAAUACUUGAUUAUUUGUAAAUGUUUUAUAUGCUUUUAUGUCUUUAUUUAAAUGAAUAUGUAUUAGUAUACAUUGUAAGUACUGGUUCAACCCAGGAAAAUACUUGAUUAUUUGUUACAUUUUGUUUUUAUAUGCUUUUAUGUCUUUAUUUAAAUGAAAAUGUUUUAGUAUGCAUUGUAAGUACUGGUUCUACCCAGGAAAAUACUUGAUUAUUUGUAAAUGUUUUUAUAUGCUUUUAUGUCUUUAUUUAAAUGAAUAUAUAUUAGUAUGCAUUGUAAGUACUGGUUCUACCCAGGAAAAUACUUGAUUAUUUGUUAAUGUUUUUAUAUAUGCUUUUAUGUCUUUGUUUAAAUGAAUAUGUAUUAGUAUACAUUGUAAGUACUGGUUCAACCCUGGAAAAUGCUUGAUUUUUUGUUUCCUUUUUAUACAUGAUCAUUGAUUAGUACUGGUUAUA